CAUAUGUGGAUGGAGUACUGGAAAUGGAUGCUCAUGCAAUCCCACAUGAGUUCAUCUUUAUAGAUGAGGCUGGGUUCAACCUAGCAAAGACCAGAAGAAGGGGGAGAAACGUCAUUGGCCAUAGAGCCAUUAUAGAUGUUCCUGGCCUACGUGGUGGGAACAUCACAAUGUGCGCUGCCAUCUCCAAUACGCAUGGUGUCCUCCACCGUCAUGCCAACCUUGGACCAUACAACACAGCCCAUAUUCUCACAUUUCUGGACAGACUCCACAGCAUUCUCAUACCACCAGAGCGUAUGAAUGAUGCAGACCAUCAAAGAACCCGGUACGUUGUAGUAUGGGACAACGUGAGCUUUCAUCGUGCAGCCCCAGUCCAAAACUGGUUUGCUGACCACCCACCAUUUCUCGUGCAAUACCUCCCACCAUACUCACCAUUUCUGAACCCCAUAGAAUAGUUAUUUUCGGCAUGGCGGUGGAAGGUAUACGACCGGCAGCCCUUUCUGCGCAUGCCUCUUGUGCAGGCUAUGGAAGAGGCAUGUGAUGAGAUUGAUGUGGGUGCGAUUCAGGGAUGGAUAAGGCACUCAAGGCUCUUCUUC